AAAUCAUGGUGUGGACAACUCUUUAAUAAAUCCUUGGAAUGUUCCCAGCAAUCAUUCAAAGUCUCAUUCACUUGUUGAAGAAACCCUGAUAUAUCAUUCCUCAACUU
rfam:Ricinus communis cultivar Hale ctg_1100012360809, whole genome shotgun sequence.